rnacentral:rRNA from 1 species
CGGCGUGCCUAACACAUGCAAGUCGAGCGAAUGAAUUUCCUUCGGGAACGGAUUUAGCGGCGGACGGGUGAGUAACACGUGGGCAACCUGCCUCAUAGAGGGGAAUACCCUUCCGAAAGGGAGAUUAAUACCGCAUAAGAUUGUAGUACCGCAUGGUACAACAAUUAAAGGAGCAAUCCGCUAUGAGAUGGGCCCGCGGCGCAUUAGCUAGUUGGUGAGGUAACGGCUCACCAAGGCGACGAUGCGUAGCCGACCUGAGAGGGUGAUCGGCCACAUUGGGACUGAGACACGGCCCAGACUCCUACGGGAGGCAGCAGUGGGGAAUAUUGCACAAUGGGGGAAACCCUGAUGCAGCAACGCCGCGUGAGUGAUGACGGCCUUCGGGUUGUAAAGCUCUGUCUUCAGGGACGAUAAUGACGGUACCUGAGGAGGAAGCCACGGCUAACUACGUGCCAGCAGCCGCGGUAAUACGUAGGUGGCGAGCGUUGUCCGGAUUUACUGGGCGUAAAGGGAGCGUAGGCGGAUUUUUAAGUGAGAUGUGAAAUACUCGGGCUUAACCUGAGUGCUGCAUUUCAAACUGGAAGUCUAGAGUGCAGGAGAGGAGAAGGGAAUUCCUAGUGUAGCGGUGAAAUGCGUAGAGAUUAGGAAGAACACCAGUGGCGAAGGCGCUUCUCUGGACUGUAACUGACGCUGAGGCUCGAAAGCGUGGGGAGCAACAC